rnacentral:rRNA from 1 species
AACGAACGCUGGCGGCAUGCCUAACACAUGCAAGUCGAACGAGACCUUCGGGUCUAGUGGCGCACGGGUGCGUAACGCGUGGGAACCUGCCCUUAGGUUCGGAAUAACUCCCCGAAAGGGGUGCUAAUACCGGAUAAUGUCUUCGGACCAAAGAUUUAUCGCCUUUGGAUGGGCCCGCGUUGGAUUAGCUAGUUGGUAGGGUAAAAGCCUACCAAGGCGACGAUCCAUAGCUGGUCUGAGAGGAUGAUCAGCCACACUGGGACUGAGACACGGCCCAGACCCCGAGGGGGGGAAGAAGGGGGAAAUUUUGAAAAGGGGGCAAAAGCUUGACCCAGAAAUGCGGGGGGAGUGAGGAGGGCCUGGGGGUUAAAAAGCUUUUUUACCGGGGAUGAUAAUGACAGACCGGGAAAAAAAGGCCCGGGAAAACCCGGGC